UGAAACAUUUCCUUCGUUUGUAAAUGACAAGUUAAAUGGGGAACUGAAGCAGAAUGCACUACACCUGAGUUUUCAGCAGUUGCUUACAAGAUCGGAAAUCGUGCUGUUCAGGUUGAUAAAACACAUUUGCUUCUUUUGUUUUGUUUUGUUUUUGCUUUUUUGCUUUUUUGUUUUUGCUUUUUUUUUUGCUUUUUUUUUUUAAUUAAAAACAAAUGCUGUAACAAUGGAUAAAUAUGCAAAUUCCAUAUGUCAAAUCGAUUUCCGUACGUAAUGUGCAGGGCCUGAGGUGUUAUUUGUAUCGGUGCAUAACAUCCCAUAUACACAACUGAGCAUUAUUUUAUUUUUUCAGAUAUGGUAACGACAAUGGUAAUUUUUUGUAAAACGGUCUCCAGAAAUGAUGAGUACCCCAUUUUUGAAAAACUUAAAAAUCUUCUUCCACCGGAGAAUUCUGAGAUGGUAACGAGCAUCGAGAAAGGACUAACAUCAUUGUGUGACAAACUUAUGGAGGUCGUGAAACAUUAAGGCGGAUUAAGACUGAUGAAGGAAUUGAUAAUGUGAUUAGCCGGAGAUUCUAGAAAUCUAAGACAGAAUGUAUUGUGAAAUAAAAGGCAAAAGAAUGUAA